GUCUGAGAGCUGUGACUCUUUAACUCGGAGAGUUGUGACUCAGUAAUUCAGAGAGCUGAAACUCUGUAACUCUGAAAGUGGUGACUCAGUAACUCUGAGAGCUGUGACUCAAUUCUGAGCAGACUCUGAAUGAGGUGGUUUCUUACCAGGUGAUGUAGCAGAUGUUGGCACAGAAGGUGUGGAUGGUGUAGUUGUGCUUGCCGUAGUUGAAGGUGUGGAUGGCGUAGUUGAAGGUGUGGAUGGCGUAGUUGAAGGUGUGGAUGGUGUAGUUGUAGGUGUGCCUUCCGUAGUUGAAGGUGUGGAUGGCGUAGUUGAAGGUGUGGAUGGCGUAGUUGUGGGUGUGGAUGGCGUAGUUGAAGGUGUGGAUGGCGUAGUUGAAGGUGUGCUUGCCGUAGUUGAAGGUGUGGAUGGCGUAGUUGAAGGUGUGGAUGGCGUAGUUGAAGGUGUGGAUGGUGUAGUUGUAGGUGUGCUUGCCGUAGUUGAAGGUGUGCUUGUCGUAGUUGAAGGUGUGGAUGGUGUAGUUGAAGGUGUGGAUGGCGUAGUUGAAGGUGUGCUUGCCGUAGGUGUGGAUGGCGUAGUUGAAGGUGUGCUUGCCGUAGUUGUAGGUGUGGAUGGCGUAGUUGAAGGUGUGGAUGUGAUGCUAGAUGCAGUACUUCCUGGAGUGUUAGAAGUUAUCUGUGCGGAUGCUGUGAACAAAAAGUAGUUUGUGAGAUAAAGAUGUGAAACUCUGAUGC
ensembl:lncRNA